CAGGCCUAACACAUGCAAGUCGAACGGCAGCACGGGAGCAAUCCUGGUGGCGAGUGGCGAACGGGUGAGUAAUAUAUCGGAACGUGCCCAGUAGUGGGGGAUAGCCCGGCGAAAGCCGGAUUAAUACCGCAUGCGACCCAUGGGUGAAAGCGGGGGAUCGCAAGACCUCGCGCUAUUGGAGCGGCCGAUAUCAGACUAGCUUGUUGGUGGGGUAAAAGCCUACCAAGGCGACGAUCUGUAGCUGGUCUGAGAGGACGACCAGCCACACUGGGACUGAGACACGGCCCAGACUCCUACGGGAGGCAGCAGUGGGGAAUUUUGGACAAUGGGCGCAAGCCUGAUCCAGCCAUGCCGCGUGCGGGAAGAAGGCCUUCGGGUUGUAAACCGCUUUUGUCAGGGAAGAAACGCGCCGAGCCAAUACCUUGGCGUAAUGACGGUACCUGAAGAAUAAGCACCGGCUAACUACGUGCCAGCAGCCGCGGUAAU
rnacentral:rRNA from 1 species